ACACCCACUUGCAAAAACUGACCACUUUCUCGAGAUGGUGAAACCAAGCUUUAUAAAUAGAUUGGGGGAAAGGAAUUUAUCAAAACAAAAUCCAGGGACACUCAAAUUUAAGAAGAUACCCACAUAAGUGAUCAAGGAAUAACAAAAACAUAGCAAAUGUUUGAAUUUGAAGGAAGAAAAAUCUACUACAACUAAUAAAUUCAGCGGGAAAAAAUAAAGAUAGCAUAAAGGAAAAACAAGAGAUAAAGAGGACAAUCAAAAAAAGAAAAGAAAUGGAAGCAGAAAUUUGGAAGGGGGAGGGGGAGAGAAUGGAUAAAAGGUGACAA
rnacentral:misc_RNA from 1 species